UUCCCCGUUUAGGGACUGUCUCGCUAGAGAAAAUGUAACUAGCGACAAGGGUUGCGCUCGUUGCGGGACUUAACCCAACACCUCACGGCACGAGCUGACAACAGCCAUGCAACAUCUGUGUACCUGCCCCGAAGGGAGACCUGCUUUCGCAGGCUGUCAGGAACAUGUCAAGCCCUGGUAAGGUUCUUCGCUUAGCAUCGAAUUAAACCACACGCUCCGCUGCUUGUGCGGGCCCCCGUCAAUUCCUUUGAGUUUUAGCCUUGCGGCCGUACUCCCCAGGCGGGAUACUUAUCGCGUUAGCUUCGGCACGGGAGGGGUCGAUACCCCCCAUACCUAGUAUCCAUCGUUUAGGGCGUGGACUAC
rnacentral:misc_RNA from 1 species